GGAUAGCUAUUGGAGGAGUGGCAAUUCUGGUAGUUUUGAGUUUGUUGUGUCUUUGUUGCAGGAAGAAGAGGAGGAGAGAUGAUGAUGAGGCUACUUACUAUGUUCCUCCACCUCCACCUCCACCUGGGCCUAAAGAUGGUCCUUAUGCUGGCCAACAGCAGCAUUGGCAGCACAAUGCUCCCCAACCACCGGAUCGAGUUUUCACAUCAAUGUCAAAGCCUAAUCCUCCACCACCAGUUGCAUCAAGGCCCCCUCAUCCUCCUGAACGUGUUUCAAUGCCUCCACCG
rnacentral:misc_RNA from 1 species